AUGAUUUGUGGGUGCAUUCAUUCGGAAGUCGUGAAGCGAAAGUGUGUUCAUUGAAUUUUGAAGUUUUUAAGUCGACGUGUAUUGCCGACAUACUUAACUAGACCCUGAUAGAAUUACCUAAAUUCAACAUUCGACAAUCACCACAGAACGAUUGCACACAUAAAAGACAGAGCUACCCAGGUUUAUUUGUAAAGUUUGCCAUGGGGCCUGAGUCCGUCAGAUCAACUUCCGGAACAGUUCACUUCCGGCAGCAACUACAGGAUCCCGAGUUCCGCCGGAAGUUCAUCCACACCUUGAUACUUUUCUUUGCGUUCCUAGCCAUGGGUAUUAGCCGUUCCCAACAUGGCCCGGCGUUCUUGGACUUUGCCCAGAUCACUGGGAGCAAUGUAGAGGAAGCAUCAGUCUUCUACACGUCCCUCGCGGCAGGGGGACUCGUGGGAUCAGCCAUCAUGGGUGUCCUCAUUGAGAAAGUAGCCAAGUACAGGCAAGGCCUGCUGGCCAUUUUUACCCUACUGAGCACUGUCAGUGACAGCGCCUUACCAUGGAGUACGAACUACGUCUUGACCAUUUGUCUAUUUUUUCUCAAUGGGACAGUAACAUCAGCUUUUGAUUCAGGUGGAACUUUUGACAUGAUGCACACGUGGGGUGUAGGAGGCAAGAUGUAUAUACGGAUUCUAUCCUUUCUCUAUUCCGCCGGAACGAUCAUAGCACCGUUCACCGUGGAACCCUUCCUAUCCGAGAAAAAAGACUACAACGCGACCUUCUGUGACAUACAUAACUUCCCGCAGUCUUAUAACUACACCGACGGACAUGUUGCUGUCAUCUUGAAUGAAACAACAUUCCCUAUUCCGGAGAGUUGUCUCCCUUCCGAAAGUCGCAUUCAGUACGGAUACCUGAUAGCAGGAGGGAUCAGUUUGCUAUCAGGAAUCAUGAUUACUGCAGAAUGCUUUUUAAGUCCUCAAAACGCGAAACGUGAAACAAGAAAUGAGAAACUUCGAAAUCCUAGGGUGCUUCCCAGAUGGUUGCGUCUGCUUGUCCUUGGGAGUGUGGGAGGCCUCUAUUUCUUCAACUGUUCUUCCAUCAGUGUCAUCAUUGGCUACAUGAUGGCGUAUUUUGUAAAUGACCUUGGAUGGAGCAAGGAAAAGACUGCCAACUUAACAUCGCUCUAUUGGGCGAGUUUCGCAGCCUCUCGCUUGCUGUGUAUGCUGUUGGAUCGAAUCCUUAACCCUCGUCAGCUUUUGUUUAUUUCUAAUGGUCUUGGCGUAUUGUCUGUAGGUGGUCUGUGGCUCAGCAUAAUUUAUAAAUCCGACCCAGGGAUAUGGAUCUGCAUGGUCCUUGCAGCUUUAGGAAUGUCAGCUAUAUUCCCAACUGGACUUGUGUAUAUUGAAAAUGACGUGAUGAAGGUAUCAGGGGUAGUGACGACAGUCAUCUGGAUAGCAGGGAGCUCGCAAGGAAUUCUGAUGCCUUUGUUGCUCGGUUACCUCCUUCAGAUGGUAUCCUACAAAUGGUACAUCUACCUCGCUUUAAUCGAGGCCGUUGUGGCCUUUGUGUUUUUUGAGUCCCUUGUUCUGAUUGUUAAGACGCUUGUGACGAAGUAUGGCUCUAUUGAAACGGAAAAUACAGUUGAUGAGGAGGAGACAUUUAUUGAGAAAAACGAUGGAACAGAGAGCAAUUGCGAAACACGAUUGAACGUUUAGACUUAACUUAUACAAAUAGUGAGUGAGUAUGGUUUAACGCCGCUUUUAGCAAUAUUCGAGCGAUAUCACGGCGGGGGACAUCAGAAAUGUUGGGAAUCGUUUCAGCUAUAUCCUAGCAUGUGUGCAUAAUAAUUAAAGGGUUCUGGUUCUGACAAACCAAAGAUCAUACCAAGGGGACAUCUGUUAUUCGAACCCACGAGGAGUGCGGAGCCGUGAGGAGUGUGGAGUGGAGAGGAGUGCAGAGCGGAGAGGAAUGGAUAUCAGUGGAACGACUUGGAGAGGAGAGGAGAGCGGAGAGGAGCAGAGAUUAGCGGAGCGACCUGGAGAGGAGAGCGGAGCAACCUGGAGAGGAGAGUGGAGCGACCUAGAGAGGAGAGAGGAGAGGACAGCAGAGCAGAGAGGAGAGCGGUGCGGAGAGGAGUAGAGAUUAGCGGAGCGACCGCGAGAGGAGAGCGGAGUGGAGAGGAGAGGACAGCAGAGCAGAGAGGAGAGCGGUGCGGAGAUGAGUGGAGAGUGGAGUGGAGUAGAGAUUAGCAGAGCCUGCUGGAAAGGAGAGCGGCUCCAUUGUGUAUUCAUUUUCGGCUCCAUUGUGUAUUCAUUUUCGGCUCCAUAAUGUAUUCAAUAUCGGCUCCAUUAUGUAUUCAUUAUCCAGUGCAAGAAGAAGGAAAUGAUUAUAUAUAUAAAUGUGUCACACUUUGCAUUUACAGUGGUUAAAUGCAUGAUUGUAACACAUGUAAACUAGCAAGUCCAGCCUCAUUGGACACAAAUGUACAUAAAACAUAUCAGUGAAAGUAUUGUAGCAUAUGAUCAUCCCUUACGUCAGAAAGCAUAAACACCAUUGCCACAAAUGCUAUGAUUGACAAACAAUUCCAAGCAUGAGUUCCGAAGUUGAUACUUCAGUUUAUGCAUUUAGUUUGAUUGUCGUAAGUCUGUCUGAAACUGUCUGUCCACACAAAAUGGGUUUGAAAUAUGGACAUUUUCUUUUUUUCAAAUGUUUACUUGCCUUAGAAUGUUUAUGUAUUAAUUCGGAAAUGAAAAUGUGUUUGAACAGUUUAUUCUCUCUACUAACCGGUACUAAAAUAAGAGGAUCAUAAAUGUUUCCACUGUGUGAAAUAUUGGGUUCACAUUGCUUUAUUUUCACAUGUACUGAUAGCCUUGCCAUCAUGUCACGUAUGACCUCAUUAACCUCUGGCUAAGCGAAACACGAUUAUGCAGGUUGACACAGUUCCAUCAGGUCACCAGUGGAGUGGAGUGAGUGAGUUAAAAUUUAACGUCACAUCAGCAAUAUUUCAGCCAUGUCGUGAUGAGACAAAAUUAUACAUUAAAAUUACAUAUAUUUUAGACUUAAUAAAAACCUGUCAUCGAUGGACAGUACAAUAACUAGAAUAUCACAGAUUCGAUUUAAAACUAGUUGAGAACAUUUAAAAAAACAAAUUAUCAGGAAACAACACUAUAAACACGGGCUAUAGAUCACCAGCAACUGAAGGUAGAUCACUAAACUAGGGACCAAGGUGACUUACAGUACCUUUGCUACCUGUAUGAACUCCAACAGGAUUUACACCAUCACUUCAGCCGGCGGCGAUUGUUGUCAAGUUUAGCCAUCAAUUAAAACAAAUAUAUCAUGAUUAAAAUGUGGUUGGCCUAAAUUUACUUUCAGUGAUGUGGAACUUAUGUACCCUCUCAGGGGGACAAUACUUUUACAGUACUUUAACCCCUUUGGAGGAUACGGCCACUAACAAUCUCAGUUGCUUAUUUAAUCUACCAAUUUAAAAACAUUUAGUUUUUACAACAUAUACAUCACAUUGGGUCAAAUAACUCUAUUGCCUUUCAAAAGUCAAUGAUUAAACAAGAAUUAAUACUAUUAAAAACAUCUUUAAUAGAUGAUGAUUUGAAAUAUGUAUCCCUUGUGAUGGAAACAUCAACACCGCCAAGCAGGACAUGCUUGAAUGUGAUACUUUCAUCACAGAGGGAUACAAAAUGGAUGAUCCUCACCUUUCAAUAAAUAUUCAUGUUUAUAUCUUGAAUGGCCAAUACGACAUCGUCGUAUAAUGACCUCUUCCAAUCUGGACUAAUAACCCAAGUAGGUGUAAGCGAUAGUUGGUUUUAUUAUAUGUUAUUUGUUAAUACCUUCUUGGGUGUCCCAUUUCUUUUGUAUUAGACUUCUGAUGUAACAUCUAAUUACAGGUUUAUAAUCACUGUAUGGAAUGACAAGUGGUGUCACAGAUUUGUUGAGUGCUGCUUUAGCAGCAGCAGCAACCAUUGAGUCCAACAUGACUGGGUAACCAACAAAAGACGAUGUCGUACUGGUCAUUGUAAGAUUGUUAUGUAAUUCUACAAUUGCUCGUAAAAGAUGAUGUUCAUAUGAAAUAUUCUUAAUGGCCUGCAGACAGGAAAGGGAAUCGGAAAAUGUGAUGAACUGUUUAUGUUUUUAAUAUUGCCUGUGAUUCUGCCGUAAACAUUGAACUGUUAUUUGGUAAUUGUCAAGAUCACAGAUAAUCUUGUAUGUAUUAAUUAAAUGUUAGUACUUUUGAUAGAUGUAUUGGUAUGGUUAAAUUAGUAUAUUGAGCUUGGCGGGUGGUUUUUGAAUACUGUCAGGUAUAACUGGGUAAUUUCAGGGAAGCGUGACUGGAUACGGCUGAUAGCUGGGGAGUUUAUUGGUGUAACAAUAGGGAGGUCAGGGGUAGCUUGGACUUUGGGGUCAGUUUAAAUAGCAGGGCAGGGUAAUAAUUUGUACAGUCAGCCAGAACCAGUAUGUUCAUAUAAGGCAUGGACUGACAUUGUGGGAGCUUUCUUCUCUGGUUGGCUGUCCCGGAACUGACCGGUCAUCCUUAUAAAUAAGGAUGUGUAAGGAGAGAAGUGUCUCCGAAACUGUGUUAGGAGCGAAAUAUCUCCGAUUAGUGUGAGCAUCACACAGCAUGCCUCUGUGGGAGUAGGAUGGCUACUGACGUGACAUUCACAUAACGGGCAAUUUCAUUGA
rnacentral:misc_RNA from 1 species